ensembl:lncRNA
GUUUAGGCUGCUCAAAAACAGCCAUUGCUUUCAAAGCAGCAGCUACACUGGAUUCUCUGCUGAUCCGCCAUGAACUUCCUUGCGGUGACAUUGGUUUUGGCCUUGGCUGUUUUUACAGAAUCCCAAGCUUUUUCCAUCCGUGAUGUAUCAGCUUCCAUGCUGCCUCCCUUAAACAAGGAGUUGCAAAAAUAUGCAAGAAGUUUCAGCAAGAUAUUAGAAGAAUAUUCACGUGUAGUCAGAAGAUCAAAACUUGGACAAGAGCUGAUAUAUCAGAUCAACGGCGUCAUUUCGAAUCUCAGCAGACAGUUGCAUCUUCUGCAGAAAGAGGCUCCUGCUGAGGUUACGCAGGCCUACGAGCGAGUGGACCGGGUGUUGUGGGACGUGGUGGAGAAACUUUUCACGGCCCUCUAUGAAAUGAGGAGACAGGCAAAGCCUGCCACUGAGGGCCUCUAUCAGUCCCUGCAGCCCUACGCCAGUCUGGUCUUAGAGUGGGCAGGUCCAUCUGCAGAGAUGCUCCAGGCCACUAUCUUUGCCAGAGCAGAGGACCUGAGCCCCAAACUGAAGAAUGAGCUGAAGCGGCACUUGGAAGAGCUAAGACCUCAACUUGAUCCCUACGCCAAGGUGUUUCGGAGCGGGGUGCAAGAAAUCCAAGGGAGCCUGGAGCCCUGUGUGGUCCGGGCUCAGCAGAUGUUCAGACAGGGAAUGGAACAGGCCAAACCAUAUCUGGCCCCAUUCCUUGAAGUACUGGAACAAAAUGAGUGAGAUUUCAAGAAGUGAGUCCCCAAAAAACCCUCAUGGUACCCAGACAGGAAAACGAGACUUUGCCCCAUGGCUAAGCUGAAAUCAAUGUCAUAUGAUAUAUACUGUCCAAGAUCCAUUUCCUCUGCCCCCUCUGUUUUGGGCUGUGAUUUUCAUGGCUCUUUGAAAUGCCUAUAGCCUGAUGGCAGAGUGUGUGCUCUGCAGGAUAAGGUCCCAUUUCAGCCUUCGGUACCCGCAUGGAAGAAGACAGUGGCAACGGUAUUUUGGACAUGUCUAAAUCAAUCUAAAUCAAUUGCCCAGAAGUAAUUUGUGGGCCACUGUGUGAGAUGGAAUGCUUGAUUAGAAGGACCAUGGCCUGAUCCAGCAGGGCUUCUCUUAUAUAGACAAAUUCAUGGAUGGCAGGUACAUCAAUGNCUACUAGAAUGGAUGCCUAGGUACUGCCUCCAGGUUGGAGAGACAGGCAGGAUGCUUCUAAAGGCCCUUUGCAGGGAGUUGAGAGCAGGUAAAAGCUUUGCCUUCAUCUUCCACUUGAGAUGCCCAGAAGCAAUUGGUGGGCCACUGGGUGAGACAGGAUGCUGGAUUAGAUGGGCUGUGGCAUAGUCCAGCAGGGGUCUUCUUUGAUUCUUUACCCUGGCCUUUGGCUGAGGGAACCACAACCCCUCCCAAUACAGGCACCAUCACCCUUUUAGCUAAUCUAUCUUACCUGUAUUUAUAGAGAUUUUAUUGUAACCCUACCUCUGAGACCUUCUGGUAUAGGACAGGAUAGAAAGACAAGUGAAUAAACAAACACCACUUUCCA